UCAGUCGAUCUGUUCUUUUGUCCCACAAUUAAAUCUUCCUGAUCAAGUGUAAUUACUUCCUCAUAUGCUCUAUGAUUACACUUGAUCAGGAAGAUUUAAUUGUGGGACAAAAGAACAGAUCGACUGA